CAGAAUUUCGGUGGAAAGAGUGAAACGGAAAUGAGCUGCCCGGAAAAACCGCAGGGGAUGAGCGUGGGAAGCUGGACAGUAUAGAAGCCGUGGGCGUGGGAAACUGGACAGUAUAGAGGCCAGCGGAAAAGGGAAGGGCCAGAGAAGUCUAUAAAAAGGUCACCUUGGACAUCUACGGGGCUCUCUCCUGGACCGCGGUCAUAACGAACAGAAGCCGGUAGGAGUUUCAAGACCUUUUUCCAAAGCCUUCGAGAUUUUUGUGUAAGACGCAAGAUUGCUGGCACGGAUUAACUUGGAUAUACUCAAAAGAAUUGGACUGGACCACUUUGCUUGAGAAACUAGCCGCUGAGACCUUUCCAUUGCUCCAAGGGGAAGACUUUGCGACUGAUGAGCGUUGUCGCUCUGGCGAUGGCUCCAUCUUUGAAGCUCCUGUGUACUGCAAGAGAUGCUUGCUGUUUGGCCUUGCUGUUUUUAUGAUGUACCACAGAAGAGAGAUUACAGACUGGGUCAGACAGGACGCAGCUGGCAACUCAGUGACAACUCAGCAAAAAUGAAGACAUCUACCGUUCCUUUCUAACAAUGAACACUUUGUUAGACAACAUGCCUCAUUGCUGUCUUGCACCCCAGAUGAACCUCCAAGUGACCAUUAAAGUCAGGGUUUUUCCUAACUAUCUUUUUUGUAGGAUUAGGUUGGAAUGUAUACAACCAGCAAUAAAUAACUUAGCUUGUUGCAUCCUACAAAAUGUCGUAAAACUUCCCUUGCUAUGUUUUAACUAGAGGUCAAAGGUUUUUUCUCCUGUAUCCAGUCCACUCAAACUCCUCUUCCCAGAUGUUCUUAUCAGUAUGUAAACACCUAGUGAUUUUUGCUUACGAGACAAAGCCCACAUGCUUUCCUUCCCCCCUUUAGUGGUUAUGUCUCACACUGUGGGUAGGGCAAAUCCGAAUAAAAAGAGCGGGAGUGCCUACAGAUAUUCAGUGUGUGUAGAGAUUGUAUUGAGCUAUCUGUACUGCACUCCUCGCGAGA